GAUGAACGCUGGCGGCGUGCCUAAUACAUGCAAGUCGAGCGAACGGACGAGAAGCUUGCUUCUCUGAUGUUAGCGGCGCACGUGUGUGUAACACGUGGAUAACCUACCUAUAAGACUGGGAUAACUUCGGGAAACCGGAUCUAAUACCGUAUAAUAUUUUGAACCGCUUGGUUCAAAAGUGAAAGACGGUCUUGCUGUCACUUAUAGAUGCAUCCGCGCUGCUUUUGCUAGUUGGUAAGGUAAAGCCUUACCAAGGCCACUAUGCAUAGCCGACCGGAGAGGGUGAACGGCCAGACUGGAAGUGAGACACGGAGCAGACAACUAGGGGAGGCAGCAGAAGGGAAUCUUACGGAAUGGGGGAAAGGGGAACGGAGCAACGCCGCGUGAGUGAUGAAGGAGUUCGGAUCGUAAAACGCAGUUAGUAGGGAAAAAGAAAAGUGUAAGUAACUGUGCAGAUAUUGACGGUACCUAAUCAGAAAGAGACGGCUAACUACGUG
rnacentral:rRNA from 1 species